AUUGAACGCUGGCGGCAGGCUUAACACAUGCAAGUCGAGCGAGCGGCGGACGGGUGAGUAAUGUCUGGGAAACUGCCUGAUGGAGGGGGAUAACUACUGGAAACGGUAGCUAAUACCGCAUACCAUCAGAUGUGCCCAGAUGGGAUUAGCUAGUAGGUGGGGUAAAGGCUCACCUAGGCGACGAUCCCUAGCUGGUCUGAGAGGAUGACCAGCCAAACUGGAACGGGUACACGGUCCAGACUCCUACGGUAGGCAGCAGUGGGGAAUCUUGGACAAUGGUCGCAAGCCUGAGGCAGCCAUGCCGCGUGUGUGAAGAAGGCCUUCGGGUUGUAAAGCACUUUCAGCGAGGAGGCGUUACUCGCAGAAGAAGCACCGGCUAACUCCGUGCCAGCAGCCGCGGUAAUUC
rnacentral:rRNA from 1 species